AAUAAAAAAAUCUAUGACAUAAAUUUAACAUGUACAUGCAUAAAUCAUAAGAAUAAGAAAAUGGCAUCACCACCACCACCAUCAUCGUCGCCUCCCUCUGCCUCCCAUUCCCAGAACUCAGCGACUCCACUAAUGCCCCCAAAGGUGGAAGAUGGUGGUGCGAAGAAUGCUGUUCCGAUGUCCUCCAGGAAAAUCCUGACUUGGCCCAGCUCCAGUGGGUUCUCUCUUUCUAUGGAGGAGAAAUAUUUGAAGAGAAAAUGAGAGUGGGUGAGGAGACUAUACUGUCAAGCCGGUGGUCUUGUACUCAAUCAUAUGCUGACCCAGUGAAGGGAUUUGAAGAACAGAACAAUGCUGGUUCAACAUCAGAAGCUUGAUUAGCAUCUCAAAAUGGGAAGCACCCACCAAGGAGUGGCUGAUGAAGCAGCUUCUUGCCUCUCACAUGCGGUAUUCUAUGUAGCUAGACAUGAUUGGUGUAGACAAAUUAAAGAUAAAAUUAACAAAAAGAUAUUUCUAGUUUCUCAUCCAUCUGCCUAUGUUUCAAAUGCUUGCUUUAGGAACUUGCAGAAUUAUUCUAUAUAUGUUUGCAAUUAUGGGCUUGUACAGAUGAGUACAAAUGCGUCUUUCUAGGGUCUCCUGUCCUAUGGGGUUGGUCAUUGUAACUCAGUGAGUGGAUACCUGGAGCAAUGACCAAGAACAUUAUCUUUUAUCUUAGAACUUUGACAAGGCUGAAGGGUUUCAAAAAUUGAAUGAUCCUACAAUUUGGCUGCAAGGCUUCCCUGAAAACAAAAGGACACUUAAUACUCAUGAUACACCAGUGAUUUGACAUGCGAAGCCCUUUGUCUUUUUUGUUCCUAGCAACUAAUGGACAAAAGGGCAUUAGCAACAUAUUAAGAAUGUACACUGCAGUGUUAGGUUUGCAAUUAGGGUUGGCAUUAUUGAUUUGAAGAAUUAUUAGUUGGACAGAGACUAUAUUGUGAGACUCCACCCUUGAGAAAUGAUUUUGCUAUUGGUUGUUGUUAUCAAAUGUAGAUUUCAGUUAAAGAGACCUCCUUCUCCCACCAACCAUCUUAAAUACAUUUUAUAAACAAAAAUAUUCCGUGUCCAAUAUGGGAAGGGACCAUAAAUUAACAAAGCCCCACGAAUCUCCAGCAAUAAAAUAGAGCUUUUGUUGGUCAUCCAGUGGUUGCAGGCUGUUAUCUAUGUAUGUUUUCAGCUUCUGCUGUGUUAUUGCUUUUGUAACUCCUACUAAUCUAACUCUCUACUUUGUUGCUCUUUUUUUUUUUUUUUUU